rnacentral:lncRNA from 1 species
CUUUUUUAGAUCCAAAAUUUUUCUUUUUUUGGAUACUUGAUAAUGCCUUGGAAAUUUUUUGCUUUCUCCUCUUAGCCUUAAUCUCUAAUGUAGUGAAUGAAACUGAAAUCCUCUUUGAUCAAAUGGCACUACUAUUAGAUAUCAAUUCCUUUACAUCAGCAGUUAAUGCAUUAACAGUAUUAAUCACUCCAUCAUAUUUUGCCUUGCACUCUUCACAUUUGCAUGCACAAGAUAAGCAAAGAGGGGAACGAUUGAUCAUCCUUCUCCCAUAUAGAGGACAACAUAUCCGUCAUGCAAAACUCUACACCGUCUCCAGAAAUGCUUGCCACAGCGAAAGUCUGUAGAAGGCAUGACAAAUAAACAUGAGCAACAUCCGACAUUAAAUCUUAAUAGGGUAUCAGAACCAUAUUCAUGGUCCCUCAGCCUUAUCAGUUUGAACCUACCAAACUUAACUGUAAAAUUACAUAUAUCUUAUUUGAAUGAUCUAUGACUAAUCAGUAAAAAAAACAUUCACAAAAGCAGUGUGCUCGAUGUGUGUUUCAACGAUAAUAUUAUCAGUAAUACAUACCUCUCACAUAUAAAGUGGUUACAUCUCCAUGCAGCUUAUUUCUCUGAACCUAUCUUUACUGCAGCCUCUUGUGAUGGUCUGGCAAAAUUUGAUCAACUUUU